ensembl:lncRNA
AGGGCCCACCCACCCCGAGGCUGGGCAGUGCUCUAAGAAACCUCUUACAGAGGCAACUGAGGCACAGAGAGGUGAAGUCACUACUCCAAGGUUGCCCAGCGGUUAAGCUGGAGAGAGUAAAACUAUCAGGGAAGGAGCCUUAGAUGGGUCCCACUCCUGCCCUGGGUCCUCUGUACCUCGGUGUACGCUCCCCAAGCAGAUAUUCCUCUUGGGGACAUGAAAGUCCCCCUGCCAGAGUGUGGAGAUCAAGACCUAUUCUCAGCAGAGCAGACACGUCACAACCCUGAGAGGAGGUGAAAGGCCGGCUCCACAAACGCUGGGGCUGAUGUCAUCCCAGCCGGGUCCAGCCUCCCCGCGCGGCCGACGCAGGCCGGCGCCGCCGUCACAAGCGUUUCUGCGCCAGGGAAUCCCGGCCCCCGCGCGGAGGCCCCAGUGGAAACCCGUGACGCCAGCGCCCGCUGCCGCCGCAGAUCUUCCGGCCCGGGCGGCGGGGCGGGGCGCGGCGUGAUCCUGCUGGGCCCCUCC